AACGCACAUUGCGCCCCUUGGUAUUCCAUGGGGCAUGCCUGUUCGAGCGUCAUUUGUACUCUCAAGCUAAGCUUGGUGUUGGGUGUUUGUCCACUCCCUCGUGUUUGGACUCGCCUUAAAACAAUUGGCAGCCAGUGUUUUGGUAUUGAAGCGCAGCACAAUUUGCGAUUCUAGCCUAGGAUACUAGCAUCCAUCAAGUCAUUUUUAACGCUUGACCUCGGAUCAGGUAGGGAUACCCGCUGAACUUAA
rnacentral:misc_RNA from 1 species